GCAAGCAACAGGAGCACGGGUCAUCUUUUCCCCGGGGGCGUCGGAAUGGACCUGUGCCACCCAGAGCCCGCGGAGCUGAGCAGCGGGGAGACGGAAGAGUUACAGAGGAUCAAGUGGCACCGGAAGCAGCUCCUGGAGGACAUCCAGAAGCUGAAGGAUGAGAUCGCAGACGUGUUUGCCCAAAUCGACUGCUUCGAGAGUGCAGAGGAGAGCCGGAUGGCCCAGAAGGAGAAGGAGCUGUGUAUUGGGCGCAAGAAGUUCAACAUGGACCCCGCCAAGGGUAUCCAGUAUUUCAUUGAGCACAAGCUGCUGACCCCUGACAUCCAGGACAUUGCACGGUUCCUGUAUAAAGGCGAGGGCCUCAACAAGACAGCCAUUGGUACCUACCUGGGGGAGAGGGACCCCGUCAACCUGCAGGUCCUCCAGGCCUUCGUGGACUGCCACGAGUUCGCCAACCUCAACCUCGUCCAGGCCCUCAGGCAGUUCCUGUGGAGCUUCCGGCUGCCCGGCGAGGCCCAGAAGAUAGACCGGAUGAUGGAGGCCUUUGCCACCCGAUACUGCCUCUGCAACCCGGGCGUCUUCCAGUCCACAGACACCUGCUACGUGCUGUCCUUCUCCAUCAUCAUGCUCAACACCAGCCUCCACAAUCCCAACGUCCGGGACAGGCCGCCUUUCGAGCGCUUUGUGUCCAUGAACCGCGGCAUCAACAACGGUAGCGACCUGCCCGAGGACCAGCUGCGGGUUACAUGGGAGUGCUCCCAGAGGAGAAGCUGGGAAAGGACAUUUCCGAAAGAAGAAAUGGCCAGAACGGAGGCGUGUCCUGGUUGGGAAAGGAGAGGUGUCCAGUGUGGCCGAGAACCUUUUCGACAGCAUCAAGAGUGAGCCGUUCUCCAUCCCUGAGGACGACGGUAAUGACCUCACUCACACCUUCUUCAACCCAGACCGGGAGGGCUGGCUGCUCAAGCUGGGGGGCCGCGUGAAGACGUGGAAACGGCGCUGGUUCAUCCUGACUGACAACUGCCUCUACUACUUCGAGUUCACCACUGACAAGGAGCCACGGGGAAUCAUACCUCUUGAGAACCUCUCGGUGCAGAAGGUGGACGACCCCAAGAAGCCAGUAGGUGUUCAGGUUGCGGGGCCCCGAGGCUGGAGCCACUGGGAAAUUUCCUAAACAGAAUGUGGGGAGAGGGCCUGAGGCUGGGCUCUCCAGGAAGCCAGGCUGUACCCCUCAACCUUCUCCGUGGCUCAGGGCUGCCUUCUCUCCCUCCUGGGGCCAUGGACAGUGGGAAAAGGUCAAUGGCGGUCCAAGGACGUGGUUGUCCCCUGUUGUCCCACACAGCCGGACUGGCUGGAUGGCCCUGAGUAAGCUCCGCUCCGUUCAGAACCUCAGUGAGCCCACAUGUCACGUGGGGACUUUAGGGAGGAUGGUGGAUUCAGGAGCCUGGCACAGAGAGAGUGCUCAGUGUGGGAGCAGCAGCUCCUGCCCCUUCGCCUGUCAUAGGGCUGUCACACUGAUCAGGGACACUAGCAUCUGGGCCUCUCUGAGCCUCCUGGAGGGCCCACCCAGCCUCCCUCUCUUCCCACCCUUGCCUGGCCACCUCCCCACAGUUCUGCCUGGAGCUCUACAACCCCAGCUGCCGAGGCCAGAAAAUCAAGGCCUGCAAGACUGAUGGCGACGGCAGGGUGGUGGAGGGCAAGCACGAGUCGUACCGGAUCUCAGCCACCAGUGCUGAGGAACGUGACCAGUGGAUCAAGGCCAUCCGAGCCAGCAUCACCCGUGUCCCCUUCUACGACCUGGUCUCUACUCGGAAGAAGAAGAUUGCCAGCAAGCAGUGAGAUUCCUGGAGGUGGCACUGGAGGUGGCACUGGGGGCUGGUCACCCUGAGAGUCCCAUCGCCUGCAGUGCCUGGAGACCCACCUCCCACCCUAGUGUACUCUUUUGGGCCACAGACAUCAUUGCUCUUCCCUGUUACCUCGAGCUGACUCUAGAGGGGAAGGCAGAGCUCAGGAGAGUGGGUGGGAGCUGCAGUGGGCUCAGAGUCCAGCAAUGAGGCCCGCUGGCCUGGGCGCCCAGCUGCAGGCCCCCGCCCUACGUGCACUACAGGAAGGGGUGAGGAGAGCAGUCAGAGGAAAACCAGCCCCAGAAUGCCGCAUCUUCUCUUCUCUCUGGACUUCGGUGUCCUCGGCUCUGAAGGUGCUCUCUGCACUCAGAUGCUGUCAGCCCUCAACGUAGGAGGGGCCCUGGGGUCCCUAAGUGCUUCUUCUCCCUGGCAAGGCUGUUCCUUUUCAGGGAUAUCUCUGCCAGUCCCUCCCCUGUCCUCAGGUUGGGCUUGGCCCUCUCUGCCUGACAGAGCUCAGCACACACACAGCUCAGACCCACAGACAGGACCCCGGGACAGAACCCCGUGAGCACUGCCCUAGGAGCCUGGACCCCACGAGGUCAGUCUCAGCUCCGCCUCUGACUCGCUGUGUGCCCUCUGCCAAGUCAUGCCCAUUCUCUAGUUCUUGCAAAACUGCAGGGUUUGGACUAGAAACGUCUUGUCUUGGCCCCUGCUAGCCCUGUGCUCCAGCUUCCAGCUGGAGAUGGCAGCCCUUGUUUAUGGAGCCCAGACAGACUCCGGAUUCAACGUUGCUGGGGAGAGAACAGCAGUAUAGACCCCACCUUCCAGGAUGUCCAUUUCGGUGAGAGGAGCAGGUGGGACCCUCAAGAAAAUGAUGGAGAACAUCCCAGACAGAUGGGACUCAAGCAGGAUGGGUGCUAUAUCCAAGAAGCCAAGAAGAGUUUUGUGCACUGUGGUUACCAGGAGGGCUGCCUGGAGGCAGUGGCUGAGCCAGAAAGUAACACAGAGCUCAUGCUUGGAGAGGCAGAGUCUUGGCCAUGGCUUUCCUGCGAGACCACUGACGAGCAGUCCCAUGGUGAUAAAGGGCAGCCCGGCGGGUCCCAGCAUCUCGAGACCCUCUGCAGCAGUAUCAUCAGAGUAGAGCUGACUUCCAAUACCCAGGCAGCCAGCUCUGUCUCCAGGGAGGCCUGGCCUGGAGGAGGGGUCCACUAACAGGAAACACUUCUCACCCCCUCACACAGGCCCAGGGGAGCCCCUGGAGGGAAAUUCCUUGGCAGGGGAACAGGAAAUGUGGUCGCCUCUGCCCCACUGCCAGCCUGAGUGGGCAAGGAAGCAGGUGGAUUCCCCAGAAGGAACCGCAGCUCGCAAGGCGCCUCUCCUUGUCCCCACCCACCCCCACAUUUGCACACCUUCCACAGGGUCAGGAUGGAGUAGCUGCCUUGUGAGGUGGUGAGACUCCUGUCUCUGGAGGUCUGCAAGCACCUGGUAGUGAUUUGCACCAGACAAGGUCUGGGUUGGGGGUCUGCAGGAGGAGACCUUGUGGGACAUUUGAGGACAUCCACAGAUUCUUGUCAGCCUGUGAACUAAGCCCUGCCUCUGUCACCUCAUUGGUCCAUGAAGGAGCAGCCAGGGGUGGUGGAAGGAGCACUGGGCUAGGGGUCAGGGGUCAGAGAUUCUGUCCUGCUCCUGGGAUACACCAGCUACUCCCUUAGUCUACUCCCUUCCCCUCUCUGGUCCUCAGCUUCCUCCAUCAUGGAGGGGAUGGGAUCAUGGAUUUUCUGGGCAUAAAUGGCUGUUCUGGGAGUCACUCCAAAGAGAGAAUAAAACUCUUGAUCCAA
rnacentral:sRNA from 1 species